rnacentral:rRNA from 1 species
GUCUAUGGCCAUACCACCCUGAACAUGCCCAGUCUUGUCUGAUCUCGGAAGCUAAGCAGGGUUGGGUCUGGUUAGUACUUGGAUGGGAGAUUGAUUUACAUUUAAAUAGCCACAUGUG